UACGUAGGGUGCAAGCGUUGUCCGGAAUUAUUGGGCGUAAAGAGCUCGUAGGUGGCCUGUCGCGUCGGCUGUGAAAACUCGGGGGCUCAACUCCGAGCUUGCAGUCGAUACGGGCAGGCUAGAGUUCGGCAGGGGGAGACUGGAAUUCCUGGUGUAGCGGUGAAAUGCGCAGAUAUCAGGAGGAACACCGGUGGCGAAGGCGGGUCUCUGGGCCGAUACUGACACUGAGGAGCGAAAAGCGUGGGGGAGCGAACAGG
rnacentral:rRNA from 1 species